UCGGGAAUUUUGGGCAAUGGGGGAAACCCUGACCCAGCAACGCCGCGUGAAGGAUGAAGUAUUUCGGUAUGUAAACUUCGAAAGAAUAGGAAGAAUAAAUGACGGUACUAUUUAUAAGGUCCGGCUAACUACGUGCCAGCAGCCGCGGUAAUACGUAGGGACCAAGCGUUGUUCGGAUUUACUGGGCGUAAAGGGCGCGUAGGCGGCAUGACAAGUCACUUGUGAAAUCUCUGGGCUUAACCCAGAACGGCCAAGUGAUACUGUCGCGCUAGAGUGCAGAAGGGGCAAUCGGAAUUCUUGGUGUAGCGGUGAAAUGCGUAGAUAUCAAGAGGAACACCUGAGGUGAAGACGGGUUGCUGGGCUGACACUGACGCUGAGGCGCGAAAGCCAGGGGAGCAACGGGAUUAGAUACCCGUGUAGUCCCUGAGCGGGCUGGCAAGGCGCAU
rnacentral:rRNA from 1 species